GGCCCACUGUUGGGACCUAGUGCUCAGAAAAAAAGAUUCUUUUCAAAAUAUUACUGCUCAUUGCCAAGGCACCUGGUCACCCAAAAGGCUCAUGGAAAUGUACAAGAAGAUGAAUGUUUCAUGCCUGCUAACACAACAUCCAUUCUGUAGCCCAUGAAUCAAAGAGUAAUUUUGACUUUCAAGUCUUAUUAUUUAAGGAACCACUUUUGUAAGGCUAUUGGUGUUAUACAUAGUUAUUCCUGUGAUGGAUCUGGGUAAAUUAAAAAUCUUCUGGAAAUAAUUUACCAUUCUAGAUGCC